AUUGAACGCUAGCGGGAUGCCUUACACAUGCAAGUCGAACGGAGUGGCGAACGGGUGAGGAAUGUAACGGAACGUGCCCAGUAGCGGGGGAUAACUACGCGAAAGCGUAGCUAAUACCGCAUACUAUUGGAGCGGCCGAUAUCGAAUUAGCUAGUUGGUGGGGUAACGGCUCACCAAGGCGCCGGGCCGUAGCGGGUUUGAGAGGGCGACCAGCCACACUGGGACUGAGACACGGCCCAGACUCCUACGGGAGGCAGCAGUGGGGAAUUUUGGACAAUGGGGGAAACCCUGAUCCAGCCAUCCCGCGUGUGCGAUGAAGGCCUUCGGGUUGUAAAGCACUUUUGGCAGGAAAGCGGUACCUGCAGAAUAAGCACCGGCUAACUCCGUGCCAGCAGCCGCGGUAAUUC
rnacentral:rRNA from 1 species